UAGGCACUCUGAAGCCACAUGGUUUGUAUAAUUUUUUGAACGAUGUGUCUCAGAGUGUUAU
rnacentral:pre_miRNA from 1 species